rnacentral:rRNA from 1 species
UACGAGGGGGGCGAGCGUUGUUCGGAAUUAUUGGGCGUAAAGGGUGCGUAGGCGGUUCGGUAAGUUUCGUGUGAAAUCCCACGGCUCAACUGUGGAACUGCUUGGUAUACUGGGUGCCUUGAGCUAUCUAGGGGCAACUGGAACAAACGGUGGAGCGGUGAAAUGCGUAGAUAUCGUUUGGAACGCCAAUGGUGAAAACAGGUUGCUGGGGAUAUGCUGACGCUGAGACACGAAAGCCAGGGGAGCAAACGGG